rnacentral:lncRNA from 1 species
ACUACAAUUUAUCUUCUUUUUUUUGGGUUGGGAAUUCGAUACUCGUCCCGAUAUCUGAUUUUGUGAAUCCGCAACCCGCUCCGAUACCGACUGUUGUAGAUCCGAUACCGAUUGUUGGGAUUCUGCAACGGAAGCGGCGAAUCGGAUUUUUACCAUAAAUCUAUCUCCUCAAUAGAAAUUGAUACAAUCACAAAAGAGAGAAAAAUCAAAGCAGAAAAUAUGCGGAUAAAAUAAAAAUCAUUAAAUAAAAAAAAUAUUACACCCGACUCCUCUUUUGCAACUGAGUAGUUACAACCCUAACCCUAUUCUUGAAUCUCUCUCACCUUUCUCUCGUCUUUUAUAAAUCCAAAAGACAACUCUUUUUCUCUCUCAUAUGCAUCCGCGCACUAUGUGCAUGCAACCGACCAACUCUCACUCUCUAGUACAACCCAUCAAAGAGCUUCAACUUUUUGACGGUACUCACUCUCCAAAAGCACCCCGCAUGGUACGUAUAUAAUGCUUGCAAUAAAACGUACCCAAAUUCUAGCAUAUUUAAGAUUUCUAUUCUAAUAAAUAUUUAAAUUUUAAUUUAUCUCCGAUAGAUUUAAAUAUUUAUCAUAAUCUAGUUAGAUUCAUACUCUAAUUAAUAUUUAAAUCUUAAUUUAUCUCCAACAAAUUUAAAUAUUAAUCCUAAUCCAAUUAGGAUUCAACUACAAAUCUAACUAAAUCCUAACAUUUUGAGCCACAAAAUCCAUUUUAAAGCAAAAAAGCUAAU